rnacentral:rRNA from 1 species
AGGUGCUGCAUGGCUGUCGUCAGCUCGUGUUGUGAAAUGUUGGGUUAAGUCCCGCAACGAGCGCAACCCUUAUCCUUGUUGCCAGCGGUCCGGCCGGGAACUCAAAGGAGACUGCCAGUGAUAAACUGGAGGAAGGUGGGGAUGACGUCAAGUCAUCAUGGCCCUUACGACCAGGGCUACACACGUGCUACAAUGGCGCAUACAAAGAGAAGCGACCUCGCGAGAGCAAGCGGACCUCAUAAAGUGCGUCGUAGUCCGGAUUGGAGUCUGCAACUCGACUCCAUGAAGUCGGAAUCGCUAGUAAUCGUGGAUCAGAAUGCCACGGUGAAUACGUUCCCGGGCCUU